AUUGAACGCUGGCGGCAUGCCUUACACAUGCAAGUCGAACGGUAACAGGUUAAGCUGACGAGUGGCGAACGGGUGAGUAAUGUAUCGGAACGUGCCCAGUCGUGGGGGAUAACUGCUCGAAAGAGCAGCUAAUACCGCAUACGACCUGAGGGUGAAAGCGGGGGAUCGCAAGACCUCGCGCGAUUGGAGCGGCCGAUAUCAGAUUAGGUAGUUGGUGAGGUAAAGGCUCACCAAGCCGACGAUCUGUAGCUGGUCUGAGAGGACGACCAGCCACACUGGGAGUGAGGCGCGGCCCGGACUCCAGCGGGCGGCAGCAGGGGGGAAGUUUGGACAAUGGGCGAAGGUCUGAACCAGGCAGGCAGCGUGCGGGAAGAAGGCCUUCGGCUUGUAAACGGCUUUUGUCAGGGAAGAAAAGGUUCUGGCUAAUAACUGGGACUCAUGCCGGUACCUGAAGAAUAAGCACCGGCGAAAUACG
rnacentral:rRNA from 1 species